ensembl:lncRNA
UGAUUUAGUUUUAAUUGAAUUCAAGUGUAUUUCACAUUUUGCUAUUUAGAUGGGUCUAUGUUGUAUCUUUUGAAUGUGUUUUCUCCUCUUUUAAGGUGCUUGUCAAGAGAGACCAUGGUCCAAAACACAGCCAAGAAGAUUUUUCCAGCAAAGAUCUAUUGGACUUCUACAGGAACGAUAAUGGAGGGAAGUGACCUAGUGGUAAAAUGUAGUACACAUGGGCGCAAGGAAGAUAUAGUGGCAUAUGUUUACUUGUGCAUUAACGGAGUUGCAGUGGAUCAGAAGAAAACUAUACAAGAAGACACCCUUUUCACCAUGAAAAGUGUUACUGGCCAACAGGCUGGCAAUUACAGCUGUGUGUUCUCUAAAACCCAGUAUCCAUUCUCUGAAGUGCAGGGAAAAGGAGAUAAUUAUCUUUCCAUCCAGGUGAUGGACCGUAUACUCCCUGCAGACAUAUCACUUGCAGGCUCAAGAACUGUGAGAAAGGGAGAAGGUGUGGAGUUUAAGUGUACUAUUUCAGACCCCAGUUUUCAAACAAAAAAGACCAGUGACUUAGUUCACUCUUACCUCUGCAAGUUUGGCUCUGUUGUUCAGAUCCAGGUGUUUGACGUAAAGAGCAUGGAGGCUAAGUUUACGAUUAAAAGUUUUUUAAAGAAUGACACAGGCAACUACAGUUGUGUGCUUGACCUGCAAUCAAAACCCCUCACAGAUAAAGACAAAAGAUUAUAUGGAAAUAAUGCAGUAUUUCUACAGGUUGAUGGUAAGAAUGUAUGGUGUUUCUCUAAAUACUUACAUAUUUAAAUAAUAUAAUUACUACAUACAUAUCUAGUUUUGUUAUUAGAAAAUCAUUGUUGAUGGUUCAUGGUUGCAGUACGUUGUUACUAUAGAAAUGAGAUUUAUAACAACAAGUUACAUGCCUGUUUUGCUUUCCAGUGUCCUGGAGUCACUUAAUCCCACUCGUGUACUGUGUCUGUUUUCUUCUGAUCUUAUCACUGAUAGUGGGCAUAUGGUGGCUGUUCAUAAAACAAGACGGAACGUCAAAUGUGGAGGAAGAAUCCAGUGAUGAAUUUGCCUUUGACAGUGUGGCCGGUGGGGAGGAGUCCCAGGAUAUUGGUGAUGAGAUUGAUACAAACCAUGACAUGGUGGAUGCCACGUACCAAGAAAUUCUGGUUGAAACACGGAAAAUUAAACACGUUAUAGCACGUAUUCGAGAUGCAGCAAACCAAGGCCCAUAUACAGAAGUUGUGUAUGCCAAGUCAUGCAAGAAGAAAAGACGCCAUCAAUACAUGCCUUAAUCGUCAUUAGAUCGGCAUUAGUUCAAAGCAGUAGUGCAUGUGUACUUCAUGGUUUACAGUAUCUAUAAUAUAUACAGUAUACAGUAUCUUCUGUAUUUUAUGUGUUGUGUAUUCAAUGUGUUGGACUACUCCCUGCAUGUUCAAGUUGACGAUGAUGCCAAAUUGUUUUGUGACCUGUUUGCGGUGCAUUGUAUUACAUCUUCAGUGGGAGUAAUAAACAUUUUUUGGAAUCA